rnacentral:rRNA from 1 species
CCAGACUCCUACGGGAGGCAGCAGUGGGGAAUAUUGCACAAUGGGGGGAACCCUGAUGCAGCGACGCCGCGUGGGUGAAGGAGCACCUCGGUGCGUAAAGCCCUAUCGGCAGGGAAGAAACAGACGGUACCUGACUAAGAAGCCCCGGCUAACUACGUGCCAGCAGCCGCGGGAAUACGUAGGGGGCGAGCGUUAUCCGGAUUCAUUGGGCGUAAAGCGCGCGUAGGCGGCCUGUUAGGUCGGGGGUCAAAUACCGGGGCUCAACUCCGGUCCGCCCCCGAUACCGGCAGGCUUGAGUCUGGUAGGGGAAGGCGGAAUUCCCAGUGUAGCGGUGGAAUGCGCAGAUAUUAGGAGGAACACCAGUGGCGAAGGCGGUCAACUGGACAGCAACUGACGCUGAGGCGCGAAAGCGUGGGGAGCAAACAGGAUUAGAUACCCGAGUAAA